rnacentral:rRNA from 1 species
CGGGACACGUGGUAUCCUGUCUGAAUAUGGGGGGACCAUCCUCCAAGGCUAAAUACUCCUGACUGACCGAUAGUGAACCAGUACCGUGAGGGAAAGGCGAAAAGAACCCCGGCGAGGGGAGUGAAAAAGAACCUGAAACCGUGUACGUACAAGCAGUGGGAGCACGCUUAGGCGUGUGACUGCGUACCUUUUGUAUAAUGGGUCAGCGACUUAUAUUCUGUAGCAAGGUUAACCGAAUAGGGGAGCCGAAGGGAAACCGAGUCUUAACUGGGCGUUAAGUUGCAGGGUAUAGACCCGAAACCCGGUGAUCUAGCCAUGGGCAGGUUGAAGGUUGGGUAACACUAACUGGAGGACCGAACCGACUAAUGUUGAAAAAUUAGCGGAUGACUUGUGGCUGGGGGUGAAAGGCCAAUCAAACCGGGAGAUAGCUGGUUCUCCCCGAAAGCUAUUUAGGUAGCGCCUCGUGAAUUCAUCUCCGGGGGUAGAGCACUGUUUCGGCAAGGGGGUCAUCCCGACUUACCAACCCGAUGCAAACUGCGAAUACCGGAGAAUGUUAUCACGGGAGACACACGGCGGGUGCUAACGUCCGUCGUGAAGAGGGAAACAACCCAGACCGCCAGCUAAGGUCCCAAAGUCAUGGUUAAGUGGGAAACGAUGUGGGAAGGCCCAGACAGCCAGGAUGUUGGCUUAGAAGCAGCCAUCAUUUAAAGAAAGCGUAAUAGCUCACUGGUCGAGUCGGCCUGCGCGGAAGAUGUAACGGGGCUAAACCAUGCACCGAAGCUGCGGCAGCGACGCUGAUGCGUUGUUGGGUAGGGGAGCGUUCUGUAAGCCUGUGAAGGUGUGCUGUGAGGCAUGCUGGAGGUAUCAGAAGUGCGAAUGCUGACAUAAGUAACGAUAAAGCGGGUGAAAAGCCCGCUCGCCGGAAGACCAAGGGUUCCUGUCCAACGUUAAUCGGGGCAGGGUGAGUCGACCCCUAAGGCGAGGCCGAAAGGCGUAGUCGAUGGGAAACAGGUUAAUAUUCCUGUACUUGGUGUUACUGCGAAGGGGGGACGGAGAAGGCUAUGUUGGCCGGGCGACGGUUGUCCCGGUUUAAGCGUGUAGGCUGGUUUUCCAGGCAAAUCCGGAAAAUCAAGGCUGAGGCGUGAUGACGAGGCACUACGGUGCUGAAGCAACAAAUGCCCUGCUUCCAGGAAAAGCCUCUAAGCAUCAGGUAACAUCAAAUCGUACCCCAAACCGACACAGGUGGUCAGGUAGAGAAUACCAAGGCGCUUGAGAGAACUCGGGUGAAGGAACUAGGCAAAAUGGUGCCGUAACUUCGGGAGAAGGCACGCUGAUAUGUAGGUGAAGCGACUUGCUCGUGGAGCUGAAAUCAGUCGAAGAUACCAGCUGGCUGCAACUGUUUAUUAAAAACACAGCACUGUGCAAACACGAAAGUGGACGUAUACGGUGUGACGCCUGCCCGGUGCCGGAAGGUUAAUUGAUGGGGUCAGCGCAAGCGAAGCUCUUGAUCGAAGCCCCGGUAAACGGCGGCCGUAACUAUAACGGUCCUAAGGUAGCGAAAUUCCUUGUCGGGUAAGUUCCGACCUGCACGAAUGGCGUAAUGAUGGCCAGGCUGUCUCCACCCGAGACUCAGUGAAAUUGAACUCGCUGUGAAGAUGCAGUGUACCCGCGGCAAGACGGAAAGACCCCGUGAACCUUUACUAUAGCUUGACACUGAACAUUGAGCCUUGAUGUGUAGGAUAGGUGGGAGGCUUUGAAGUGUGGACGCCAGUCUGCAUGGAGCCGGCCUUGAAAUACCACCCUUUAAUGUUUGAUGUUCUAACGUUGACCCGUGAUCCGGGUUGCGGACAGUGUCUGGUGGGUAGUUUGACUGGGGCGGUCUCCUCCUAAAGAGUAACGGAGGAGCACGAAGGUUGGCUAAUCCUGGUCGGACAUCAGGAGGUUAGUGCAAUGGCAUAAGCCAGCUUGACUGCGAGCGUGACGGCGCGAGCAGGUGCGAAAGCAGGUCAUAGUGAUCCGGUGGUUCUGAAUGGAAGGGCCAUCGCUCAACGGAUAAAAGGUACUCCGGGGAUAACAGGCU